UUCUGCCAUUGUCAUUGGUGGUGGAUUUGCAGGGAUUGCAGCUGCUCAUGCACUGAAAAAUGCAGCUUUUCAGGUUGUGCUUUUAGAAUCUCGGGAUAGAAUUGGUGGUCGAGUUCACACUAACUACUCAUUUGGUUUUCCUGUUGACAUGGGAGCAGCCUGGUUGCAUGGUGUCU